UUAAAUAAAUCUAAAUAUAGAAUACUACUGUUAAUAGUAUUAAGUUAUAACUUAAUAUAACUAUUUAAA
rnacentral:tRNA from 1 species